AGCUUGGUGACUCGCCUCGUAAUCUCUUCAGGCCCGAAACCACAUCAUGUAAUAUAAGUUUUGUCCCAAGCGUCACUCGAACCGGCGACCUCUAAACUUUGCCUAAGAUCUUUACCAAUUGAGCUAACGACAUUUGGUUGACUCGCCUUUUUACGUU
rnacentral:sRNA from 1 species